GCUGCACCCGCUGCUCUGCGAGUCGCAGCGCGCGCCCUCGGGUACUAGAGCCCCGCUGGGCGUGGGGUCGGAGACCCGGACCCCCGCAACUUUGGGUGCCCGCGGCCCAACAGCUGACCGGCCCUCCUGGACCGAGGGUCCACUGGGCCCUUUUCCCGCCGCCCCUCUGCCCUGGCCGUAGACGGUGACCUUCGGACCGGCCCUGGUCGAGCCUAGUGCUUGGCCCGGAAAUUCUGGAUGCUGGUUUCUUUCUCUCGAAAGCGACCUCUGCAAAGACAAAUACCAUCCGGUGGGAAGAACUGGGAAUCCGUUGGGGAAGAGCCCCCCAACCCUCACACCCACUUGCAAGUAUCUGCCACACCCAAGAUGGCAGGGUGAAGCCGGAGAGGAGUUUCUCAGGGAGGAAGGGGAGGUGAGGGGCCAGGGCGCUGGCCUCACCGGCUUCUCAUUUUCCCCAGAGAUGACCUAGUGUGAUCCACUUCCUCUUGUCUUUUUUUGUUCAUUACUGGGUCGGUUAUUUAAACUCUCUGUAUCUCAGUUCACUUAUCAAUAAAAUGAUAAAUAAUAGUAA